rnacentral:rRNA from 1 species
UACGUAGGCAGCGAGCGUUGUUCGGAAUUACUGGGCGUAAAGAGUGUGUAGGCGGUGCUCCCAGUCUGUUGUGAAAUCUCCCGGCUUAACUGGGAGGGUGCAGCGGAAACUAGAGUGCUAGAGGGUGGGAGAGGUAAGCGGAAUUCCUGGUGUAGCGGUGAAAUGCGUAGAUAUCAUUUGGAACGCCAACGGAGAAAUCAGGUAGCUGGGGGUGUGCUGACGCUGAGACACGAAAGCCAGGGGAGCGAACGGG